UACGUAGGGGGCAAGCGUUGUCCGGAUUUAUUGGGCGUAAAGAGCGUGUAGGCGGCCAGGUAGGUCGGUUGUGAAAACUCGAGGCUCAACCUCGAGAUGUCGACCGAAACCAUCUGGCUAGAGUCCGGAAGAGGAGAAUGGAAUUCCCGGUGUAGCGGUGAAAUGCGCAGAUAUCGGGAAGAACACCCGUGGCGAAGGCGGUUCACUGGGACGGUACUGACGCUGAGACGCGAAAGCGUGGGGAGCGAACAGG
rnacentral:rRNA from 1 species